GCCUCUGUGGCUCAGUACAUUGAUUAGAUGGCUGCACGGGAAUCGCAGGGCCGCAGGUUCGAUUCCUGCCAGAGGGCA